UACGUAGGGUGCAAGCGUUGUCCGGAAUUAUUGGGCGUAAAGAGCUCGUAGGCGGUUUGUCGCGUCGAAUGUGAAAACCCGGGGCUCAACCGCGGGCCUGCAGCCGAUACGGGCAGGCUAGAGUUCGGUAGGGGAGACUGGAAUUCCUGGUGUAGCGGUGAAAUGCGCAGAUAUCAGGAGGAACACCGGUGGCGAAGGCGGGUCUCUGGGCCGAUACUGACGCUGAGGAGCGAAAGCGUGGGGAGCGAACAGG
rnacentral:rRNA from 1 species